rnacentral:lncRNA from 1 species
ACGAAGCCAGAAAUUAAGAUUCGGGGGGGCCAAAAUUUAGAUUUGAUAGGAAAAAAAUUCGAUCUCGGAUAGUAAAAAAAAAAAAUUUGUCAGAUUCACAGAUAACGAUAAUAUGCCAAAAAAGAACAAGACUGUAAGAGUUGAAGGAAAAGGACCAAAAAAUUUGAAAAAAAAUUGAGACACAAAUUUUGUUAAAAAAAUUAAUUUGGCCCCCUAAAAUUAAAAUUUAUAAUAUUUUAAUUUUUAUUAUUAAGAACUUUUAUAUAAUUUUAAAAAAUUU